GAGGGUAUAGCUCAGUGGUAGAGCACAUGCUUAGCAUGCACAAGGUCCUGGGUUCAAUCCCUAGUACCUCCA
rnacentral:tRNA from 1 species